ensembl:miRNA Gm22582 predicted gene, 22582
CAUUGGCAUCUGGCACUGUGGCUCCUGCAUGUAAACAGUGGCUGGCGGGGCCUGGACCCACAACACCGCCUCUGCAGUCACAGUGAAGUCUUCC